rnacentral:misc_RNA from 1 species
GUGAAUCAUCGAAUUUUUGAACGCAAAUUGCGCCUUUUUCGGAAGGCAUGUCUGUUUGAGGGCACCAUUUAACAAAUAAUGUGCAUUUCGUGUGCACACGUUGAUGAGCUUUCCAAAAUUAUGUAUUAUUAUUUUUGUUGGCGCAUAAUAAACAGCGCGAUCCUUUUUUUCGGUUCUAUUUUAGUAAAAUUUUUUCUUGUUUGGGUUUUUAAUAAAUGGAC